CAGAGCGAGACUCCGUCUCAAAAAAAAAAAAAAAAAAAAAAAAAUCCAAAUUUAUAAAUUGCUGGGUCCAUCUCUCUUGCCAUCCAGAAAAGUCAGAGCAACUGGUCUUGCUGGUUUUAAGUGUUGCCUGUGUUUCUGGCAUUGCUGAAUACUAAAAGUGCUGUAGGCUGGACCCGCACUACCUGACAGGGAGAUAAAUGACUAAAGGCAAAUGGGAGUCAAAACAGGCCUGGAAGUGGAAAUACCGUGACAUAAAAUAGAGGCACAGCAAAUUAUUCAAGAUGUCGACAAACAGCAUUGUUUCCAAGUUUUUGUUCCCUUACAAUCCUUGCCAUUGGCCAAUCUCUCAAAAUCCCGUGUUGCUUAACAUUUAGUAGCUUAGUAAAUAUUUUAAAUCUCAGAGAUUUUACCUAACUGAUACCAGGGUUUUUAAAAUUUGUUUAUAUAGAUUAAGCGUCUUUGAAGAAAUAACAGUAUGCAAAAAAUAUGGUUGCUAUUCUUCAUGUUAAAACUAUCUUAAACUCUUUUCCAGAGGAAAAAAUAACAAAAUAGAAACCAAGGAAGGUCUUUUGCUUGGUGAUUACAUAUAUUGAUUACCUGUGUAAGUUAAACAGAUUGGGAAAAGGAAAUAUCCAAAAUUGUGCCUAGAGUAUAUCAUGACAUCAUGUAUAUAUGUAAAUAAGUUAAUUUUUGCAAUCGCAACAUAGAGAAAAAUGUUAUUUUAAAUGAAUAAAAAUAAAUAGAACAUAAAGUAAUAUUUCAGCAUAUUAAAUUUAGGAGUAAAAACCUUUGACAUCCCUGAAAAUCUUUGGUAAAAAGUCCAGAUUAUGAUAACUUGGCUUUAAUGAACUAGGAAAUAGAUGGAUAAUAGCACACACAUUUUUAGCAUUGUAGGGAUUAUUUUCACUGGUUGUAGGAUCAACACACUUGGUUUAAAUAAUGGUUCUGAGAAUUUAAUUAAUUAAUUAAUUUAAUUCAUUUUUGUUAGGAAAAUAAAUUCAUUUCUAGACACAGGAUAUUUUACAAUUGGAUCGUAUUUCAAAAAAGAAUCACUGUGUUUUUAAUGAACAAAUGUCACAUAAAGAAGUCUUUUCAAAAAGUGCUUCAAAAACUUAAAUUUGAAAUAUAUGCAACGGAUCCACAAGGUAUCUAAUAAUUUUUAUUUUUACCAAGCUCAUGAGUAAGUUAGUUAGCCCUGAAACAGUUUCGGAGAAAAAAAAAAGUGUUUUAGUUUCUUCAUCUGUAAAAUAUUUAUGUUGCAAAUGAUUGAGCAAAUAUAUAAAUUUAAGCAGUUUGAUCCUAGAACUUGUUGUGUUUAAGAAUAUGGAUUAUUGAGAAGUACUUCACCAUAGUAUUUAUCACAUAGUAUGUCCUAAUUGAAGAUUAAGUAUGGUUGUAAUCAUAAUAAAGUAUUUUGAAAAUUCUUUUGAAAACUGUUUUAAUGAAUUAUAGAUUGAACACUGAGUUAAGAUGGAGUUAUCCAUGAUCUUUAAGACAGCAAAAUUAGGUCUUGAAGUUAAAAUUGAAAUGAAUAUAAUGCACAUAUAUUGAUUUUAUGUCGAUGUUUUAUAAUCAAAUCUGAUUAGAAAAAGGAAAUUGGUAUAAAGGUUCUCCACAUCUUCUCAGUCACCCUACUUCAUUUUCUAAGGGAAUUACAUUACGUACUUUUAUUUUAUUUCUUGUUAUAUAGCUGUAUCCUUUCCUUGAUUUCUUGGCUUGCUUCUGCUCUCUUCUGCUAUGCCUAUCCAUCAGUUUCCAGAGCUCAGAAAAACAGUUUUUAACAGCCUAAUAUAUGUAUUUGGCAAUUUCCUCCCAUAACUGUGAUUUAAUAUUCAUGGCCACAUAAAGGGUAUAAAAUAUUUUGCACUCGGUGUAUACACAUUUUCUUUAUAUCACUUUAUCUUUCAUCAAUAACUCAAUGGAAAUCCCGUUAAGAGAAUAUGAAUAGCUCUAGUUGGUAUUCAAUGUCUGCCUAACAUUUCAUGUUGACAAAUUAUCAUAAACUAUUCAAUAGAAGAAUUUUACUAACAAUAUAUCGUUAACAUUCUAAAAUAUUUUUGUAUAAUCUAGACUUUGGUGGGAACAAACCUUGGAACAAACUGGUUCCAAGGUUUCUUGGAGGGGAGUGGUGAAAAAGAAAUGGGGAAAUUUAUGUUUUUUGAAUUUGUCAACUUAUUGAGGAGGGGUAAGUAGAGAAAUUGACUAAUUUGCUAAGACAAUAGAAGGCAUCUUUAUUUCAAAUAGUACUUGAAAAUUAUGCAUCUAAUUGUGAGGUCAAAAAAUUGAAGAUACCCCUUAAUAAAGAAAUAAAGGAUAGAUCUUCCAAAAUAACAAGGAUGUAGUGGAAUGAAUAAAAAUGUAUCAAGUCAGCAGCAAUAAGGUAAAAAUAUUAGAAAAGUAAUGUUAAAUAGUUGUCAGAUGGAAGGAUAUAUUUGAGCAAAUAUUUUGUUAAAUA
rnacentral:lncRNA from 1 species